UGAUGGUACCUUCGUCUAAGCGAACGAACUAGAAGUGGUUUCUUUCAGUUUAUUCAGGAGAAGAACAUUAUGCAGAGGGGAACUAUCAAUGGUAGGAGUUAGGGAGGAUGCGAUUUGAGACCACGACUUCCGAGGGAGAGGAGGAGGAUGCUGAGGCUGACCCCCGCUUGCCAUGGCAAGGGGGGGAGGAGGAGCAACGGAGAAGACUAGGAGCUUAGGAAGGAAGGGAUGGAAUGUGAACCGACCAUGGUUGGAACCAUCUGCUCUUUGGUCUGAAAACAGAGGAGUCACUGCCAAUCCUGUUGGAUCUGUCUUUCAGACUAAAUGGGAUAACAAGGGUGAACACAAUAUGUACUAUCUUUUGAGAUCCAUGUUCAUUUGCUUUCUCAAAGUAAGGCACACAUAUGUCCCUGAUGAAUAUAUAAUCAAGCCCGCAUAUAUGGUUUACAUUGGAAUCUAUCAAAUACAUACACAUUAAUUAGUC